rnacentral:rRNA from 1 species
AUAGCCCAGGGAAACCUGGAUUAAUACCGGAUGAGACGGGACCCGCGAUGGCGGGAUCCGGGAAAGGCGCUGCGGCGCCGCCGGGGGAUGAGUCUGCGUCCCAUUAGCUAGACGGCGGGGUAACGGCCCACCGUGGCGACGAUGGGUAGCCGGCCUGAGAGGGUGGACGGCCACAUUGGAACUGAGACACGGUCCAGACUCCUACGGGAGGCAGCAGCUAAGAAUCUUCCGCAAUGGGCGAAAGCCUGACGGAGACCGACGCCGCGUGAACGAAGAAGGCCGUGAGGUUGUAAAGUUCUUUUCGGGAGGGGGAACAACCGUGGUAGGGAAUGGCCGCGGGAUCGACGUGAAUCCCGGAAUAAGCCCCGGCUAACUACGUGCCAGCAGCCGC